AAAAAAGGUAAGCUACUAAGAGCGAAUGGUGGAUGCCUUGACUGGUAAAGGCGAUGAAGGACGUACUAGACUGCGAUAAGCUACGGGGAGCUGUCAAGAAGUUUUGAUCCGUAGAUUUCCGAAUGGGGCAACCCAAUGUAUAGAGAUAUACAUUACCUAUAUAGGAGCGAACGAGGGGAAUUGAAACAUCUUAGUACCCUCAGGAAAAGAAAUCAAUAGAGAUUGCGUCAGUAGCGGCGAGCGAAAGCGCAAGAGGGCAAACCCAGUGCUUGCACUGGGGGUUGUAGGACUGCAAUGUGCAAGAGGUAAGUUUAGCAGAACAUUCUGGAAAGUAUAACCAUAGAGGGUGAUAGUCCCGUAUGCGAAAAACAAACCUUAGCUAGCAGUAUCCUGAGUAGGGCGGGACACGAGGAAUCCUGUCUGAAUCCGGGUCGACCACGAUCCAACCCUAAAUACUAAUACCAGAUCGAUAGUGCACAAGUACCGUGAGGGAAAGGUGAAAAGAACUGAGGUGAUCAGAGUGAAAUAGAACCUGAAACCAUUUGCUUACAAUCAUUCAGAGCCCUAUGUAGCAAUACAGGGUGAUGGACUGCCUUUUGCAUAAUGAGCCUGCGAGUUGUGGUGUCUGGCAAGGUUAAGCAAACGCGAAGCCGUAGCGAAAGCGAGUCUGAAUAGGGCGCUUAGUCAGAUGCUGCAGACCCGAAACGAAGUGAUCUAUCCAUGAGCAAGUUGAAGCUAGUGUAAGAACUAGUGGAGGACUGAACCCAUAGGCGUUGAAAAGCCCCGGGAUGACUUGUGGAUAGGGGUGAAAGGCCAAUCAAACUUCGUGAUAGCUGGUUCUCUCCGAAAUAUAUUUAGGUAUAGCGUUGUGUCGUAAUAUAAGGGGGUAGAGCACUGAAUGGGCUAGGGCAUACACCAAUGUACCAAACCCUAUCAAACUCCGAAUACCUUAUAUGUAAUCACAGCAGUCAGGCGGCGAGUGAUAAAAUCCGUCGUCAAGAGGGAAACAACCCAGACUACCAGCUAAGGUCCCUAAAUCUUACUUAAGUGGAAAACGAUGUGAAGUUACUUAAACAACCAGGAGGUUGGCUUAGAAGCAGCCAUCCUUUAAAGAAAGCGUAAUAGCUCACUGGUCUAGUGAUUUUGCGCGGAAAAUAUAACGGGGCUAAAGUAAGUACCGAAGCUGUAGACUUGCACACAACUUAGAUUAUUUAAGUUUAGAAUAUGAGAAACUAAGUUAUAUGUUUAGUUAUAUUUUUACUGAUUUUUAUAGAGUAAAGAUAGAAAUAAAACUUAGUAAAAUCAGUAAAAAUAUUCUUAGACUAAAGUUAAGUAGUUUAAGUUGUGUGCAAGUGGUAGGAGAGCGUUCUAUUUGCGUCGAAGGUAUACCGGUAAGGAGUGCUGGAGCGAAUAGAAGUGAGCAUGCAGGCAUGAGUAGCGAUAAUUAAUGUGAGAAUCAUUAACGCCG
rnacentral:rRNA from 1 species